rnacentral:rRNA from 1 species
ACGAACGCUGGCGGCGUGCUUAACACCUGCAAGUCGAACGGAAAGGCCCUGCUUGCAGGGUACUCGAGUGGCGAACGUGUGAGUAACACGUGGGUGAUCUGCCCUGCACUUCGGGAUAAGCCUGGGAAACUGGGUCUAAUACCGGAUAGGAGCCAUUUUUAGUGUGAUGGUUGGAAAGUUUUUUCGGUGUAGGAUGAGCUCGCGGCCUAUCAGCUUGUUGGUGGGGUAAUGGCCUACCAAGGCGGCGACGGGUAGCCGGCCUGAGAGGGUGGACGGCCACAUUGGGACUGAGAUACGGCCCAGACUCCUACGGGAGGCAGCAGUGGGGAAUAUUGCACAAUGGGCGCAAGCCGGAUGCAGCGACGCCGCGUGGGGGAUGACGGCCUUCGGGUUGUAAACUCCUUUCGCUAGGGACGAAGCUUUUUGUGACGGUACCUAGAGAAGAAGCACCGGCUAACUACGUG